AUGAGAUGGGCUCAAACCCAACACGCCCGGCCCGUUUCGCUUAGAAAAGGAAACAAACGAGCCUACCCUAUACAAAACCUGCGAUCGAGAGAAUCGAGCGGAACGAACCCAUCGUGCGUCACCUGCAAGACUCCAGCGAACCCACCAGAUCAUCCAUACAUGGUCCAUCCGAUGCGUAUGCCGCCGCCGCCGCCCGACGAGUACGACCCCACGAGGGGCACCAUCGCCUGCUUCACGGACCAUGGCCUCGCCGACGACCCCGUCUCGCCCGCCGCGCUCGAGGCCCUCCGCGUCAUCCUCGUCGGCCACUACGAGGAGGCGUUCCGGCGGCUGCCCGUCGAGGACAUGCCGGACGGUCUCGACCUGGCCCAGCUCGCCCACCGCGGCGGCUUCUGCCUCGGCCUCCUCGAUCCCGUUACCAACAUCGUCCUCAACACAAUCUCCCUCCUCCCACACGGAUUCGAGUUUGACGCAAACCCUAGCCCGGCGCCGUCCGCUCCAGGACUCAGGAUGCCGUCGCGCCGCCGAAACUCGAGCAGGGAUGCAUGGCACGGCGUCGCGUGCAGGUCCAGCGGGUGCCUCCUCGAGUUCAUGCGGGCCUACUUCGGGCUGCUCAGCGAGGAGCAAGCCCGGCGGUACCUCAUCUGGGCGCGUGCCGACAUCGCCAUGGCGGUUCUGCUCGUCGAGCACGAGCUCUACGACGCCCGUCCUGCACCGCCGGACCCUCGCUCCAGCAGGACGCGGCAGUCUCUCAGGCUCGCUGCUAUGCACAUGCAACACCCUUCGCCGGACAGCCUCGUGUCGCUCGCUACGGCGUGGCUUCCACCGCAGAAGCUCGAGAUACUUGCCCCCAUCCUACGACACGAUGGCGGUCGGAAUAGGCUGGCUGUCCAAGACGUAAAGAACAUCCUCCACGUGCUGCGCCACCAAGACGACAUAUCCGCCAUGGCUACAUUGCAGUCACCGCCGCCGCUUGAAGAAGGCACUACGAGCUGCAUCUACCUUGGAGAUGGCCGGAUCGCGUACACCACCAUUGUCCAGCGAGCCGGCGACCACAUCGCAUCUCUACGGCGUCCUCAAGACACGCAGUCCACGCUAAUCUCUUACUCCACCGCAGCACCGUCGGCGACAGACACGACGGCGGAGCCGCACGACUCCCCUUGCGCAUACGUGGGGUCUCUCGACAUGGACGAGGCCCGACAAUGCCCGUACGUACGGUCUCUGGAGAUGUCCCUCCUGGGCACCAUCCAUGGAUUCUACCUCAAGGCGCUCGCCAUGCUGCCAAGCUACGCCGCGCGCCACCAUGUACGCGGCAUCCUCCUAGCCGGCCACUGCUACGGCCCAAUGGACCCUGUCUCCAACAUCAUCCUCAGUACCGUCUGGUAUGACGCCAACUUCCCGCUCCCCGUGGCUGAUCGUGGGACGCAGGCGCACGACAUCCUUGACACCCUCACCAUGCUCAGGGUGGUCACUAGCUCCCUGCACGGCCUCGUAGCUCUCCUGCACGCCAACUCCGGCAAGCAUCUGCCGUUGCACGAGAUCUUGAAGUACCUCUGCUACAGGAAGUGCGACUUGGCCACCAUGUUACAGCCAUAUCUACACCGGAACUCUCCCAACCCUUUUGCCAGCGCCGCCGCUGCUGCUCGUCACCCGCAAGCGUCCGCUUGGGCAACAUUUCUUUCAUCAUUGGCGCCGACGAAGCUAGACCAGAUACGGUCCUUGAUGAUUAGUGCCACUGCCAACAACACCGCGCUUUCUUAUGAGUCUUUGACCGAGAUAUACAACAUCCUCAGAGAGGAAACCCGGAAGGCGGUGACACUGCCGGCUCCCAAACUCUGUCGGAUGGCGGUGAGCAUUCUCACAAGAAAGAGGGAGGCCUAUGCUCACCAGCAGAGCUUCAUUCGCGGUAGGAUUGAACAGCUACUGCUGGAAUACGCGCGUCGCCAUCCUUCAGAAACAAAAUAUGAUUUGGAUUUUAUAUGCGGUGUAGCCGUAACAUUAACCGGUCACCAGGAUCAAUGCUACCACGUCAAUUUCAUGGCAGCUACCAAAUCGACAUCCAAGAACACACUUUUCUUUGCCGAGUUUUGGUGGGCAUAUCAAGAUCAGUCAAAGCCUUCCGUAUGCUGCCCUCUGCCCCAACCGUAUACCAUGGGUAAGUAUGAAAUAAGUAGGCUUUUCAACCUUAAUAUGUUGAGUUCUCAAGUAUUUAAGGAGUGCAAACUUCUCAAAAUAAAUGUGUGUUCAUUUGGUGCAAAUUUGGCUCUCCCAACAGGUCGUUGCUACUACGGCCAGGAGUCCGCACGUAAGCUCGCCUAUCCGGAUGACUCCAUCGACUAUUUCUCACGCGACAUUACUCAUGGCGGACUAGAUGACACAGAAGGCAUACUAAACACGGACUUUUUGUACUUCGACUCCGAGAGGGACGUCGAGCUUGCCAAGGUCUUGCAGAGGAUGGGCAAGAAAGAAGAGGUCAUGCAAAGGUCCUCUACUGGAAGGCGUGCUGAAUGGACCGCCGGUGUUCCUCUGUGCUAG
rnacentral:rRNA from 1 species